GGGCGGUUAGCUCAGCGGUAGAGCACCGGCUUUACACGCCGGCUGUCGGGGGUUCGAAACCCUCACCGCCCACCA
rnacentral:tRNA from 1 species